UUAAACUCACUCAUUACUGAAAGAAAAUGUUGCUCGUUCAUUUACAGCAAGAGGAAAUAUUGACUAGGAAUAGUGAAGAAGCCCUUGAAAUUCUGAUGAUCCUUUAAUGAGGAGGAAUGCAUCACAUGCUCACAUUGGGAAAAGAUUUGAAUUUCUUACCAGUCUGACACGGAAGAAAGAUAACACAAACUCACUAAGUCACUAUCGCAGAGAUAUCUGCUGACAGCAAACAGGUUAAUUAAGGGCUGUUGCCAAGUUGGUGAUGUUGGUUCCAGGUUGACAUGGACUGGAAAAUUGACAUGCCCAGGUGUAGCUCAGAUAUGACAGCAACAUGGUAAAGCUUUCCCCAGGUUUGAAAGCCACCCUAGAGAUUCGCCUACUAUCAUCUAUAAUGGGUCGCACAGCUGAAGAUAAUAAAAAUAAACUUUGAUCAACCGCAUGACAGGAAAGAAAUGACACGUGGUUGCUUGGAUCUGGAAAGUCUCCCAAAGGCUGGGUCCCAGGUCCCCUGAAGAAGUCGUAGCUGAAUGUGUUGUCAGGAGGUGAGGCCCCCUGGGGGAAGUGGGAGUGACUUUGAACGGUAUAAUGUGUGCCCAACCCUCUCCUCCUCCUCAUUUUUCUUCUGCUGCUUUCUCUCCCCACACCCUUUCUCGGCUGCUAUGAGGUGGGCAGCUUCGUUGUGCCUCCUGUUCCCAUCACAAACCACAGAGCCAGCAGACCAAGGACCUCUGAAAAUAGGAGCCAAAGGAAUCUUUUCUCCUUAGGCAUCCUCAAAUUGUAUAAAUUUCGGGUCCCACGAACCUGGAGCUGCCCUGAAUCUCCAUGACCCUGAAGAGACAAUAGAUUUUACUGGGUGAGAAACUGACAUUGAAGACAGCUUCCUCGGGGCAUGAGGCUUGAAGCUCACUUAAUCUCAGCAACACAACUGACGGGCACUGUUGUCCCUGUUCUGCACAUAAGGAAAAAGAAAUCUAGAGGCAUGAAGAGAGCUCGCAGGAGGUCUGGUAGCCAGUGAGCAGCAGAGCGGACUGAGCUGACACCUGCGCAACACCCAAGCCCGGGGUGCUGGGAGCUUUACGGUGCCCCUUGUGCCCUUGGACUGUGGUUUCUCACAGACGAAAGAGCAGAAGAACAGGACAACAGGACCAGCCUGCGGUCAGCCCGGAAGGCAGGUGUCAGGGUCAGGCCUCUGCUGCCACCCGUGAGACAUUCAUGCCCUCCCACCCCUGCCAGUUGAUCUGCUUUACACUUCCUGAGCCUCUGAGAGGUGGACAGCAAGCAGGCCACUCCCAGAGUCUGAAAAGUCCACCUUGGGAAGCAGAGAGCUUAGCGCCUUCAUCUUUCAAAGGGGCAAAUGAGUGUGCGUCUGUGCGUAGGUGUGGAGAGAUGAGAUUUGAGCCCUUUCCAGGAAAGCCACCCCUUCAUCCAGCCUGCUCAGAGGCGUGCUCUGGAUAACUCCCUACAAACCAGGAGAGGGCCCUCGUCAGAACCUCGCCAUGCUGUUACCCUGAUCUUGGACCUCCAGCCUCCAGAACCGAGAAAUUCAGCUUUCAGGCUCAGGGGAGGCAAAGACUACCAGGACCCCAGCCCUGGCCAGCAAG